rnacentral:lncRNA from 1 species
UACACAAUAGGUGGUGUCACAAUUGGUGGUGUUGGUACUACAGGUGGAUAAACAAUGGGUGGUUUUGGCACAUAAGGUGGUGUAACUGGCACAACUGGUGGUUUUGGGAUAUAUGGUGGUCUAACUGGGACAACAGGUGGUUUUGGGACAUAAGGAGGGUUCACAAUUGGUGGUUUUGGAACAUAUGGUGGUGUAACUGGCACAACUGGUGGUUUUGGGACAUAGGGAGGGUUCACAACUGGUGGCUUCGGGACAUAGGGUGGUUUAACAACUGGUGGUUUUGGGACAUAAGGUGGAUGUGGAUGCAGUGGAGGCUUAGGGUGAGGUUUUGGGACAUGGGGUGGAUGUGGAUGAACUGGUGGUUUAGGGUAGUGAGGAGGUUUUGGGACAUAGGGUGGGUGUACAUGGGGUGGUUUUGGAGAUGACUUGGGUGGUGGACAUGGUUUUGGUUGUUUGUGAACUGGUGGUUUCACAAUGGGAGGCUUUUUUGGAGGAGGCUUGGGAG